rnacentral:rRNA from 1 species
UUCGGGUCGUAAAGCUCUGUCCUAAGUGAAGAUAAUGACGGUAACUUAGGAGGAAGCCCCGGCUAACUACGUGCCAGCAGCCGCGGUAAUACGUAGGGGGCAAGCGUUAUCCGGAAUCAUUGGGCGUAAAGGGUGAGUAGGCGGCAAUACAAGUCAGAGGUGAAAGGCUACGGCUUAACCGUAGUAAGCCUUUGAAACUGUAUAGCUUGAGUAUGGGAGAGGAGAGUGGAAUUCCUAGUGUAGCGGUGAAAUGCGUAGAUAUUAGGAGGAACACCAGUGGCGAAGGCGACUCUCUGGACCAUAACUGACGCUGAGUCACGAAAGCGUGGGGAGCAAACAGGAUUAGAUACCCUGGUAGUCCACGCCGUAAACGAUGAGUGCUAGGUGUUGGGGUUCAAACCUCAGUGCCGCAGCUAACGCAUUAAGCACUCCGCCUGGGGAGUACGAUCGCAAGGUUGAAACUCAAAGGAAUUGACGGGGACCCGCACAAGCAGCGGAGCAUGUGGUUUAAUUCGAAGCAACGCGAAGAACCUUACCUGGACUUGACAUCCUAUUGAAAGCACCUUAGCCGGUGCCGUCCUUCGGGACAAUAGAGACAGGUGGUGCAUGGUUGUCGUCAGCUCGUGUCGUGAGAUGUUGGGUUAAGUCCCGCAACGAGCGCAACCCACGUCCCUAGUUGCCAGCAGGUUAUGCUGGGCACUCUAGGGAAACUGCCCGUGAUAAGCGGGAGGAAGGUGUGGAUGACGUCAAGUCCUCAUGGCCCUUACGGGUUGGGCUACACACGUGCUACAAUGGUGGUGACAAUGGGUUAAUCCCCAAAAGCCAUCUCAGUUCGGAUUGUCGUCUGCAACUCGACGGCAUGAAGUCGGAAUCGCUAGUAAUCGCGUAACAGCAUGACGCGGUGAAUACGUUCCCGGGCCUUGUACACACCGCCCGUCACACCAUGGGAGUUGGGUUCACCCGAAGGCCGUGCGCCAACCUGUUCGCAGGGGGCAGCGGACCACGGUGAGUUCAGCGACUGGGGUGAAGUCGUAACAAGGUAGCCGUAGGGGAACCUGCGGCUG